rnacentral:rRNA from 1 species
AGGACGAACGCUGGCGGCGUGCUUAACACAUGCAAGUCGAACGGUGAAGGGACCUUCGGGUCCCGGAUCAGUGGCGAACGGGUGAGUAACACGUGGGCAACCUGCCCCUAGCUCUGGAAUAACCCCGGGAAACCGAGGCUAAUACCGGAUAGGACUGCUUGUCGCAUGGUGGGUGGUGGAAAGUUUUUUCGGCUGGGGAUGGGCCCGCGGCCUAUCAGCUUGUUGGUGGGGUGAUGGCCUACCAAGGCGGUGACGGGUA